rnacentral:lncRNA from 1 species
CGUUUUGUGUUUUCGGGCUGGGCUGGGGGUCUCCAUUUGGGCUCAUAGGGUGUGUCAGGGGGUCCCCAUUUUGGUGUCUUGGGUUGGGUUGGAGUCUCCAUUUUGGGGUCAAGGAUGUGGGUCCCCAUUUUGGGGUCUUGGGUUGGGUUGGGGGUCUCCAUUUGGGCUCAUAGGAUGGGUUGGGGUCUCCAUUUGGGGUCAUGGAGUUGGGGUCCCCAUUUUGGGGUCUUGGGUUGGGGUCUCCAUUUGGGGUCUUGGGUUGGGUC